rnacentral:rRNA from 1 species
UACGUAGGGUGCAAGCGUUGUCCGGAAUUAUUGGGCGUAAAGAGCUCGUAGGCGGUUUGUUGCGUCGGCUGUGAAAUCCCGAGGCUCAACCUCGGGUCUGCAGUCGAUACGAGCAAACUAGAGUGUUGCAGGGGAGACUGGAAGUUCCUGGUGUAGCGGUGAAAUGCGUAGAUAUCGUAAGGAAGACCAGUGGCGAAGGCGGGUCUCUGGACA